rnacentral:rRNA from 1 species
GAUGAACGCUGGCGGCGUGCCUAAUACAUGCAAGUCGAGCGAACGGACGAGAAGCUUGCUUCUCUGAUGUUAGCGGCGGACGGGUGAGUAACACGUGGAUAACCUACCUAUAAGACUGGGAUAACUUCGGGAAACCGGAGCUAAUACCGGAUAAUAUUUUGAACCGCAUGGUUCAAAAGUGAAAGACGGUCUUGCUGUCGCUUAUAGAUGGAUCCGCGCUGCAUUAGCUAGUUGGUAAGGUAACGGCUUGCCAAGGCAACGAUGCAUAGCCGACCUGAGAGGGUGAUCGGCCACACUGGAACUGAGACACGGUCCAGACUCCUACGGGAGGCAGCAGUAGGGAAUCUUCCGCAAUGGGCGAAAGCCUGACGGAGCAACGCCGCGUGAGUGAUGAAGGUCUUCGGAUCGUAAAACUCUGUUAUUAGGGAAGAACAUAUGUGUAAGUAACUGUGCACAUCUUGACGGUACCUAAUCAGAAAGCCACGGCUAACUACGUG